rnacentral:SRP_RNA from 1 species
CGCACCAGACGGGGAGAUAGCGGUGCCCUGAACCUGCAAUCCGCUGCAGCAGGGUUGGAUUCCCGUUUUGAGGCGUGUGCCUGUGAGGCAGGUACCGGUAAGGGGUGUUGAUUGUCGGGUCCCGUGCAAUCUGCGUCUGUGAACCAUGUCAGGUCUUGACGGAAGCAGCAUUAAGCAGUUAAGCAGGUGUGCCGCGGGUUCGCCUGAAGGGAGCCGCCUGCCGGGGUUCCGCUCGGAGGUAUACGUCGAUUUACGGGUGUGC